UACGGAAGGCAGCAGUGGGGAAUAUUGCACAAUGGGCGCAAGCCUGAUGCAGCCAUGCCGCGUGUAUGAAGAAGGCCUUCGGGUUGUAAAGUACUUUCAGUCGUGAGGAAGGUGUUAAGGUUAAUAACCUUAGCAAUUGACGUUAGCGACAGAAGAAGCACCGGCUAACUCCGUGCCAGCAGCCGCGGUAAUACGGAGGGUGCGAGCGUUAAUCGGAAUUACUGGGCUAAAGGGCACGCAGGCGGUUAAUUAAGUUGGAUGUGAAAUCCCCGGGCUUAACCUGGGAAUGGCAUUCAAGACUGGUUAGCUAGAGUCUUGUAGAGGGGGUAGAAUUCCGAUGUGUAGCGGUGAAAUGCGUAGAGAUGUGGAGGAAUACCGGGUGGCGAAGGCGGCCCCUGGGACAAAGGACUGACGCUCAUGUGCGAAAGCGUGGGGAGCAAACGAGGAUUAGAUACC
rnacentral:rRNA from 1 species